rnacentral:rRNA from 1 species
GACGAACGCUGGCGGCGUGCCUAAUACAUGCAAGUUGAGCGCUGAAGGUUGGUACUUGUACCGACUGGAUGAGCAGCGAACGGGUGAGUAACGCGUGGGGAAUCUGCCUUUGAGCGGGGGACAACAUUUGGAAACGAAUGCUAAUACCGCAUAAAAACUUUAAACACAAGUUUUAAGUUUGAAAGAUGCAAUUGCAUCACUCAAAGAUGAUCCCGCGUUGUAUUAGCUAGUUGGUGAGGUAAAGGCUCACCAAGGCGAUGAUACAUAGCCGACCUGAGAGGGUGAUCGGCCACAUUGGGACGGAGACACGGCCCAAACUCCUACGGGAGGCAGCAGUAGGGAAUCUUCGGCAAUGGACGAAAGUCUGACCGAGCAACGCCGCGUGAGUGAAGAAGGUUUUCGGAUCGUAAAACUCUGUUGGCAGAGAAGAACGUUGGUGAGAGUGGAAAGCUCAUCAAGUGACGGUAACUACCCAGAAAGGGACGGCUAACUACGUG